GGCGAACGCUGGCGGCGUGCUUAACACAUGCAAGUCGAACGGAAAGGCCCUGCUUUUGUGGGGUGCUCGAGUGGCGAACGGGUGAGUAACACGUGAGUAACCUGCCCUUGACUUUGGGAUAACUUCAGGAAACUGGGGCUAAUACCGGAUAGGAGCUCCUGCUGCAUGGUGGGGGUUGGAAAGUUUCGGCGGUUGGGGAUGGACUCGCGGCUUAUCAGCUUGUUGGUGGGGUAGUGGCUUACCAAGGCUUUGACGGGUAGCCGGCCUGAGAGGGUGACCGGCCACAUUGGGACUGAGAUACGGCCCAGACUCCUACGGGAGGCAGCAGUGGGGAAUAUUGCACAAUGGGCGGAAGCCUGAUGCAGCAACGCCGCGUGCGGGAUGACGGCCUUCGGGUUGUAAACCGCUUUCGCCUGUGACGAAGCGUGAGUGACGGUAAUGGGUAAAGAAGCACCGGCUAACUACGUG
rnacentral:rRNA from 1 species